AGCAGCCGCGGUAAUUCCAGCUCCAAUAGCGUAUAUUAAAGUUGUUGCAGUUAAAAAGCUCGUAGUUGAAUUUCGGGACUAAUAUGUCGGUCGUACUUUGUACGUACUAGCAUUAUUGGUUUCUCCCUUCUGACGAACCACGAUGUCAUUAAUUUGGUGUCGUGGGAAAUCAGGACUGUUACUUUGAAAAAUUAGAGUGUUUAAAGCAAGCUCGCGCUUGAAUACAUUAGCAUGGAAUAAUGAAAUAGGACGUUUGAUUCUAUUUUGUUGGUUUCUAGGAUCGACGUAAUGAUUAAUAGGGAUAGUUGGGGGCAUUAGUAUUCAAUUGUCAGAGGUGAAAUUCUUGGAUUUAUUGAAGACUAACUACUGCGAAAGCAUUUGCCAAGGAUGUUUUCAUUAAUCAAGAACGAAAGUUAGGGGAUCGAAGACGAUCAGAUACCGUCGUAGUCUUAACCAUAAACUAUGCCGACUAGGGAUCGGAUGAUGUUAAUUUUUAAUGACUCAUUCGGCGCCUUACGGG
rnacentral:rRNA from 1 species